AGAGAAGGAUAGUUUACUUGUAUCUUCCAGCAGAAGGAGAAAUUGUUUAACCAGAUGGACAACUCCAACCCACAGCACCCCCUACCACUGAAUUCAGAGGAGACUCAAUAUGAGAUGCAGAAAGUGAAUGGUGUACAUCAAUUUAUACACACACUGCACCGCUUUGAAGACCCCAACC